rnacentral:rRNA from 1 species
CGGGUUGUAAAGCACUUUGAUCUGGGAAGAAAAAGCUUUGGCUAAUAUCCAAAGCCUUGACGGUACCAGAGGAACAAGCACCGGCUAACUCUGUGCCAGCAGCCGCGGUAAUACAGAGGGUGCUAGCGUUAAUCGGAUUUACUGGGCGUAAAGCGUGUGUAGGCGGUUCGUUAAGUCGGAUGUGAAAGCCCUGGGCUCAACCUGGGAAUUGCACUCGAUACUGGCGGGCUAGAGUACGGUAGAGGGCGGCGGAAUUCCGGGUGUAGCGGUGAAAUGCGUAGAUAUCCGGAGGAACACCGAUGGCGAAGGCAACCGCCUGGGCCUGUACUGACGCUGAGACACGAAAGCGUGGGGAGCAAACAGGAUUAGAUACCCUGGUAGUCCACGCCGUAAACGAUGAGAACUUGACGUCGGUUUGCUCUGCGAAUCGGUGUCGAAGCUAACGCGCUAAGUUCUCCGCCUGGGGAGUACGGCCGCAAGGUUGAAACCC